GUGCCCGUAGCUCAGUUGGAUAGAGCAUCAGCCUUCUAAGCUGACGGCCGAAGGUUCGAGUCCUUCCGGGCACG
rnacentral:tRNA from 1 species